AUGAACGCUAGCGGCAGGCCUAACACAUGCAAGUCGAGGGGCAGCACAAGGAGCAAUCUGAGGUGGCGACCGGCGCACGGGUGAGUAACACGUAUGCAACCUGCCUGUAAGCGGGGAAUAACCCGUUGAAAGACGGACUAAUACCGCAUAAUACUAAAUUACUGCAUGGUAAUUUAUUUAAACAUUUAUGGCUUACAGAUGGGCAUGCGCAUGAUUAGCUAGUUGGAGAGGUAACGGCUCCCCAAGGCAACGAUCAUUAGGGGUUCUGAGAGGAAGGUCCCCCACACUGGUACUGAGACACGGACCAGACUCCUACGGGAGGCAGCAGUGAGGAAUAUUGGUCAAUGGACGAGAGUCUGAACCAGCCAAGUCGCGUGCAGGAAGAAUGUCCUUAAUGGAUUGUAAACUGCUUUUGCAGGGGAAUAAAGUGCAUCACGUGUGAUGUUUUGUAUGUACUCUGCGAAUAAGGAUCGGCUAACUCCGUGCCAGCAGCCGC
rnacentral:rRNA from 1 species